CUGCGUAUCCCCAGCGCGUGUGAGAGGAUUCUUAAAGGAACCCAUGGCCUCAUUUAAACGAGCCCGUUUAUCCGCUUAUCAGCCUCGUUUCACAGCGUCACAGCGCGAUGUCAGGACUAACGCGUGUUUAUUCACGUCAGACAUGAAGUACAGUAUCUUAUGUUACGGGAUGUAUUGUGUAUUAAUGUACUCGGUACACUAGACUGACGCCAGUGCGUCAUGACGCAAGUAACCAAGGUGACGUAAGCGUAAGUUGCGUUUCUCUGUGCGUGUGUCUGUUUAUGAGUGAAGAUUCAUUGACUUUACUGCCUCUUUUACCGCCUCUGGCUCUGUUAUGUGCUGACGUCAGGAGCAGUGACACAGCAUAACGACAGUUAAGCGGACAGCCUUCAGGCCAUGUACAAGCAAGUGAACGUGCAGAGGAAAUGAUGCAGUUGCUGAAAAUCAGCUAAGCAGCUCACAAGUUUAACUCAACCAAAUAAAUAAAUAAAUAAGGCACACAGGGUUUUUUUUUUAAUAUAUAUAUUAUUGAGUUGAUUUUUUGUUCAGUUAAAUGAUUCGAUUCAUUCGGUCUGUGAAUGAAUGUGUUUAAUAAAAAGAAUGUUGUCUUGUGUAAACCCAGUACAGUAAGAAGAUAAGUGGUAGAAAGCUGACGAAGAAGAGACACCGUUAUCAUGCCGAAACUGAUUAUUUUCACAUGACGUCAUGUCACAAAGUGUUCUAUUCGUCUUAUCGCUGACUCUUUUGCCAUCACAAACAUGUCUAAUAAAUGCAUUUCAGAUCAGAAUUAUUUUCCUCCUCAUCCUCUGUGGACCCGUAACGGAUGAA